AAUCACAAAUAUUAAGAUAUAUAUAGACAGUCUCCGACAUGAGAAUUACCAUCGCUUAUACUACAGCUGGAUAGUCAGGGAGGCCAGGAAAAACCUGCAAUACAGAAAACCUGAAUGGGGCCAAGACAAUUAACCAGCAGCUUCCCCACAAAGCUUCUAUGUUACAACUUCUCAAUAGGAGCGUUGGUAACGCGACAAACAUAGCUCUAUCUUGGCCAAUUUUUUUAUUUAUUUUUUUUAAUUUUUUUUUUUUAAUUCAUUUAUUCUUUCACUCAGUUUUAAGUGUUUUUGAAGAGACCCAAUAUUUGCCGAACUCUUUGUCUAUUCAAAUUGUUUGCUUGGUGAAGUAACUAAUUAAUUAAGCAUAGAGGAUUAGAGCGUUUCCAGUUGAGACAUAAAUCUUGGAAUAGAGCCUAUGUUGGCAUAAAACUUUAUUACACUUCCCGAAUGAGAAAGUUUAUUAAUUAAAAUACCGUUUGUCUGUUUUCCGGUCGAGAAAACGAUGGUGAAAUGGCAGUCGCGUUUAAUGCAGUGGACGAUAACAGUUUUGUUUAAUAUUGUUGCAGUUUGCUUGAAUUUUUCAACGUAUCAUAAAGGAAAGUAUUCGUAUAAUACAGUUUCUUGGUUUAUUCGAUAUUGCAUUGCCAUUGGUUUGGUCCUCGCCUGUCUACACUACAGACCAGUUUUGAAUUAUUUGAAAUCCUUAGUUUUAUUAUACAGAUAUAUGAAAUUGGCAACAAUGUUGAUUGUUUAUACUGUAUUAUCAUUGUGUUUCCCUCCCAGAUCGAAAGCGUUGCAAUACUGAUAAGUAAAAUAUAUAUACACAGUGCCAGUCAGUGGUCUUAUUUUACCUUUCAUUAUAAACAUAUCCAAGCUUUUACAGUCUAUAUAAACUAUAGACAUAGUAAAACACACAUGACAUUGUUAUUGAAUAUUGAGUAUUGUGUCUAUUGAGUAUUGACUGAUUUUAUAUAUCGGCAUCGUGAUUUUUAGAGUACAGUACAUCGUCAAUAUAUACAACUGUCUCUACUGUAUUUUCUUCAAGAAAAGAAAAUUCAACCGCAACGCAAAAC